ensembl:lncRNA
CCUAGACAAUCAGACCCAGAGCCCUGUACCCAGACAAUCAGACCCAGAGCCCUGUACCUAGACAAUCAGACCCAUAGCCCUGUACCUAGACAAUCAGACCCAGAGCCCCGUACCUAGACAAUCAGACCCAGAGCCCUGUACCUAGACAAUCAGACCCAUAGCCCUGUACCUAGACAAUCAGACCCGGAGCCCUGUACCUAGACAAUCAGACCCAGAGCUCUGUACCAGAGGAUCAUGGUGUGUCCUGAUCCCUGGAACCGUCUGCUCUCCAUCUCCAACCAACCUCCAAGCUCUCUCUGACCGGAGAUAACCAGAGGACACUGUCUGUACCCAAAGUCUUGCUCCCAGUCCUACGGUGGAUUGUUUCAAUAGAUCUUCUAGUGGUCCCUUUUCUUUACUCUCUGAACAUCAUAUCUCACGUCUUAUUUGAUAAAGAAUGUGAUCUUUUGGAUGUUUUCCGACAGUACUGUUUGCUGUCUCAAUACACCUAACAUGAAGACAGAGGGUACUGAGGAACUGAUGAUACAAUACUAUAUUGAAUCAGAACUUUUCCUCAUGAAUGCAUUUACAGACUUACAGUUCAUUUAGAUUUGUGAAAGAUGUGGUUUUAGGGAGACAGAGUGUGACUGUGCCAUAGAGGUGUGUUGGUAUCAGGUGGUGGUGAACAUAUGGAGAGCAGGGUAGAGGUGUCAGGGUAGGGUGAACAUAGCUGUAGAACUGUCAGGAUGAUGUAUGAUAGCUGUAGAGGUGUCAGGGUGAUGUAUGGUAGCUGUAGAGGUGUCAGGAUGAUGUAUGGUAGCUGUAGAGGUGUCAGGGUGAUGUAUGGUAGCUGUAGAGAUGUCAGGGUGAUCUAUGAUAGCUGUAGAGGUGUCAGGAUGAUGUAUGAUAGCUGUAGAGGUGUCAGGGUGAUCUAUGGUAGCUGUAGAGGUGUCAGGGUGAUGUAUGAUAGCUGUAGAGGUGUCAGGAUGAUGUAUGAUAGCUGUAGAGGUGUCGGGGUGAUGUAUGAUAGCUGUAGGGGUGUCAGGGUGAUCUAUGGUAGCUGUAGAGGUGUCAGGAUGAUGUAUGAUAGCUGUAGAGGUGUCGGGGUGAUGUAUGAUAGCUGUAGGGGUGUCAGGGUGAUGUAUGGUAGCUGUAGAGGUGUCAGGAUGAUAGCUGUAGGGGUGUCAGGAUGAUGUAUGAUAACUGUAGGGGUGUCAGGAUGAUAGCUGUAGAAGUGUCAGGAUGAUGUAUGAUAGCUGUAGGGGUGUCAGGAUGAUGUAUGAUAGCUGUAGAGGUGUCAGGAUGAUAGCUGUAGAAGUGUCAGGAUGAUGUAUGAUAGCUGUAGAGGUGUCAAGGUGAUCUAUGAUAGCUGUAUAGGUCCCAGGGUGAUCUAUGAUAGCUGUAGAGGUGUCAGGAUGAUGUAUGAUAGCUGUAAAAGUGUCAGGAUGAUGUAUGAUAGCUGUAGAGGUGUCAAGGUGAUCUAUGAUAGCUGUAUAGGUCCCAGGGUGAUCUAUGAUAGCUGUAGAGGUGUCAGAGUGAUCUAUGGUAGCUGUAGAGGUGUCAGGGUGAUCUAUGAUAGCUGUAGAGGUGUCAGUGUGAUGUAUGAUAGCUGUAGAGGUUCCAGGGUGAUGUAUGAUAGCUGUAGAGGUGAUGUAUGAUAGCUGUAGAUGGCUGUAGAGGUGUCAGGAUGAUAGCUGUAGGGGUGUCAGGAUGAUUUAUGAUAGCUGUAGAGGUGUCAGGAUGAUAGCUGUAGAAGUGUCAGGAUGAUGUAUGAUAGCUGUAGGGGUGUCAGGAUGAUAGCUGUAGAAGUGUCAGGAUGAUGUAUGGUAGCUAUAGAGGAGCCCGAAUGAUGUAUGGUAGCUGUAGAGGUGUCAGGUCAUCUAUGGUAGCUGUAGAGGUGUCAGGGUGAUGUAUGACAGCUCUAAUCACUGCAUCUGACAACCUUCAACUAGAGGAGGAUACUCUGCCACCAGUCGACCCAGCACACCAGUCCAUUCAGCAGUCCGCCCAGGUCAGCAAUGCCCAUUUGUCCCUCCCGGAUAAAUAUGACGGGGUAGAGGAUUGGUACCAGCACGCAACCCCAUCUAAGUGGCUUCCUACUCAAGUGCUCCCUCUAUUUUGCACAACAGAUGGGAGGCCUCACCACCGAGAGGUCCCAGGUUGCCAUGGUUAUUUCUCUGCUGACUAGGAGGGGGUUGGAGAGGGCUUCAGCCGUCUGGGAGAGAGGAGAGGAGGAGCUGGCUUCGUAUGAGGGGUUCAUGGCUCUGUUCAGAUGUAUCUUCGAUCAUCCGCCGUAGGGCAGAGAGGGGAGUGAGCUUCUAUUCCAACUACGGCAAGAUGAACAACCCGCUGCCGAGUAGGCGCUCACCUUCCAGACAGUAGCAAUAUCCAGUGGAUUGAAUGAGCCGGCACCCCGUACGUUAUUCAGAUGAGGACUGCGCAGGGAGGUCCAGACGCAACUGGCAUGUCGAGACGACAACCUCUCCUUGGAGCCUGAACGAUGCAGACGGAAACAGCUGGGGCUCUGUCCCUAUUGUGGUCAAGGGGGGCACCAGCUUCAGCAGUGUCCGGUUGCUAAGGCAGUGUUUCAGCAGGUCUUCUGGCAUUAUGGCCUUCCGGAGGACAUCGUCUCCGACCGUUGCCCCCAAUUCGCAUCACGGACAUGAAGAGCCUUCAUGGAGAAGUUUGAGGUCACGGUCAGCCUCAGUCUAAAGGGCAGGUGGAGAGGAUGAACCAGGAGCUGGGGAAGUUCCUGAGGAGCCACUGCCAGGACCGGCAGGGGGAGUGGGCCCAAUUCCUUCCAGAGGCGGAGUACGCCCAGAAUGUGUUACGUCACUCCUCCACUAGGCUGACUCCAUUCCAUUGUGUUCUGGGUUGUCAGCCGGUCCUGGCUCUGUUGACCCCGGGCCAGACCGAAGCUCCUGCGGUGGUUUAGGCACACAGAAAAAGUGUGGAGCGAUACUCACGUCAGACUAAAGCGCACCGUCCAAUGUCAGGAGUAGAAGGAUUGCCACUGCAGUUAAGCUCCUGUGUUCCAUCAUGUUCUACCAGGAACCUCCCACUCCCUGCAAGAAGCUGAACCCCGGUUUGUGGGGCCGUUCAAGGUUCUCCGAAGGGUCAACGAGGUGACGUAUAUAUUACAGCUACCCAGUGACUACCGUAUCUUACCUUCCUUUCAUGUCUCCCUUCUCAGGCCGGUGGUUCCUGGUCCCCUGGCUAAAGCUGUCCCCUCGUGGGGGGGGGAUUCUGUCACGUCUACUCCCACUCUCCUUCUUCGGCGCUCGACGUUGCCGAUUUACAAAUCACUGCCUCUGACAACCAUCAUUACGUACACCAUCGUUACCCGCACUAGCACCUCAUUAUGAGACUCACCUGGACUCCAUCCCUUCCCUGAUUGUCGCUCCCUUUGGUUCAUUCCCCAGGCAGUAUUGGUUAUGUGUUUAUGUCCAGACGCUACUCUUGUUUUGUAUCGUUCCAUGUUCAUCGUGUUAUUAAACUCACCACCUGCACCUGC